rnacentral:rRNA from 1 species
AGAGUUUGAUCCUGGCUCAGGAUGAACGCUAGCUACAGGCUUAACACAUGCAAGUCGAGGGGAAACGACAUCGAAAGCUUGCUUUUGAUGGGCGUCGACCGGCGCACGGGUGAGUAACGCGUAUCCAACCUGCCCACCACUUGGGGAUAACCUUGCGAAAGUAAGACUAAUACCCAAUGAUAUCUCUAGAAGACAUCUGAAAGAGAUUGAAGAUUUAUCGGUGAUGGAUGGGGAUGCGUCUGAUUAGCUUGUUGGCGGGGUAACGGCCCACCAAGGCGACGAUCAGUAGGGGUUCUGAGAGGAAGGUCCCCCACAUUGGAACUGAGACACGGUCCAAACUUCUACGGCAGGCAGCA